AAAUGGUUUGUGACACUGAGCUGCCCAUGAGGACUCUAUGGGAAAGCCCAUUAUAGCACAGGACAGCUGGGGGACCAUGUUGGGUCCAAUCUCUGCAUGAACUCAGGAAUCACAAGGGCUGCCUCCUCCCACGGGCUUCUCAUCCCCCAAGACUUCACCAUGCUUUUCUGUGUCAUUCUGCUCAGGGAAGUUUGAAAUGCCAUGCCUGGGGCAGACACUUGAAGAAAUCAGCUUGGACAGGAGACAUUUAGUGCUAGUUAGAAGGUCAGCCAGUCCUAACUGGCAGGGGUGGCCCAAGGCAGCCUGCUGUCACCCAGUGCCCGGCCCUUGUCUAGAUGGCCACCUUCCCCCGCUGAGAGGUGUCGGCUCAGGGACUUUUGCCACGUGUUGACUGCUUUACUUCAUAAUUAGCCUUGAGAAUUGAGCAGAACAAUGUUUCUUUGCCUCAAAAAACCAUCGUUCUUAAAAGAGUUCUGAAGAUUGAGGGAAAAAAGGUUAUGGAAAAAAUAAGCUGGGAGUCAUUUUAUUUAAAGGAUGUUUCCAUUCUAGACAAUUUCAACUGGCUCUGUGCUGUUGAAAGACCAGGCAGGAAGGAAAUAGGUGUGAAAAAGUGGAAGUGCUCUCACACUCAUUUUAAAAGGCACGUCUGUUCCAGGCACCAACAUCAGAGAAAAGCGGCCAAAGACUACGGUGAAUGAAACUCAAUUUAGGAACAAACAUUACUGAUAAAAUAUUAGUCUAUCAAAUCAAGAAUGUGAUCACAAGAAAAAUACAUACAGCGUGUUCCAGUGUGACUUAUUCCAGCAACAAAGGAAUGGCAUUAGGAAAUCUACUAAUGUAAUUUACUCCAUUGGUAGAUUAAACCAUGUGACUCCAAAUAGAGGCUGAAGUAGCAUUCGAUGCAAUUUAACACCCAUUCAUGAUUAAAAAGAAAAGAUGAUUAGCUGUCUUAGCCAGUUCCAACUUACUGUCCA